GGGCCUGCAGGUACUCCAGCACCACGGCCUGCUCGCACUCUGCCAGCAGUAGCUGCGGACCCCAGAUUUGGCGGCGGGGAGAGAGAAGGUCCCGCAGCGGCUCCAGUGCCCGGGAAACCUCAGCCCCGCUCCCCAAGGCCCCUCGGGCUGCAGCCAGCGCCUCCCGGAUGUCCCGGACCUCCUCUAGGGCCUGCCUCAGGUGGCCCAGGCCUCCCUGCACCCCCUCCAGUGCCCACUUGCCCACUACUACCUCUCCAGCACUUGUAUGCCUCCUCAGCAGGUAAGUUCUCUCAACCUGCUGGGCACUUCGGGACAUAUCCUACACACCCUGUUAAGUACUAACUCAUGUCCAUAACACCUUUUCUUUCCUAGCUGUACUGUCAGUCAUUCAGUUCAGUGGUACUUAUCGAGCACUUAUGGUGUGCGGAGCACUGUAUUAAGAACUUAGGAGA